CCUGAGCUGAAGGCAGACGCUUAACAACUGAGCCACCCAGGAAUGGUUUUGAAGACUUCUAAUUUGUUUCCCCACUUAGAGAAUUCCCCUUUGUCUUUUGGGGUAUAUGUGUUAAAUAUAAGGUAGGCUGGAGUCAGAAUUGCUAGAAUCAUUUCAAAUGCAAGUGUGGUUGUAGAGAAUGAUGACAGGUAGUCAUCAUAGUAUGGGUCAAUCAGAGUCAAUGUAGGAUCUAGAAAAUUAGGAGUUACAUGUUUUGGCGUCUUUCAGCUUCGAAUUCUGUAGUGUUUAUGACAUGAACAGAUUUGUGUGGGUAAUCCCUAGGGUGGCAGUGAGUACUAGCCUGCCUCCUUCCCUGUUCUGUUAUCCAGCCCACCCAGCAGAUUGUGUUCAGGGACAGGCUGUGUUUUUAGGAAUCCCUUAUUACUGAAGUUAAUAAUAAUAUAGUUAUAAAUAUGAACGCCUGGAGGUGUCCAGAUGUGCCUUAACUAAUGUAAAUGGUUUUCAUUCAGAAGUUUAAAUUUUUACUCCAUUAUAAAAUCUUGCCAUGAGGAACUUUCCAAACCAUGAAUAUCAGUUAUUUUAAUGAAUUUACCUUGGUGCUUUUUCAUUUUGGAGAAAUUUCCCUUUGUGAAAAUAGCAUUAGUUCAUAAGGAAUUGUACUUGCCACGGUGUUCAACAAUGUGUUAUAUUUGACAAAAAGUGUUUACGGUAAGAAAGAUUAACUACAUUGGUACAUUUAUUUAUGCUCUUGCUUGAUUUUGCUACAUGCUAUGAUUUUCAUUUUAAACAUUUCUCAGUUACUACAAGCAAUAUUUAUCUGUAUUUUGCUCUCUUCUUAGCUGCAGAUGGAUGCAGAAAAUGGAAUUCUAUUAGAGACUUAUUUAAAAGUUUAAUUCCAGUAAAUGGUCAGAGGAGUCUGAAAUUAAUUUUCUUAUUAGAAACAUUCAAAAAGCACUGUUUUUGCUUUUUUUCCUAGAUUAGAAUGUUUUUUGUCAUCUGCUUUUUUCCUGAUCUGUUGAGAAUUAUUGUUUUAGUUAUUUGUGGGGAAAUCGCUUCUUAAAAUGUUUGUUGCUUGAAUUAAAGUUUUCAUAUGGACGAUACAAUUAAGUGCUUUGUUUUAUGGCUCAAACUACGCCUGGAAGUAGAGUUGAGAAUGGGGACUAAGAAUCAGGUGGGCAGGCAUCUUGGUCAAGUGGAGCUGACACUGGGUUCCAGUCUCUCCAAAGGCAUGAUGGGUCCUCAGAGCUUCCUCUGAAUCAUGAGGGUGUUGAGCUCCGUUAUCCCUGACUUCUGAAGAAGGUGGACUGCCUUGGACUCCAUACACAAUUUUAAUAGGUAUCAAUUUUCACAAAAUAUCUGUUAUAAUUUGCUACCAUUUUGUAGUUGUUUAGGAAAUUGUGAGCAAUUAGACACCUGCUAUGUAAAUUGUAGCUGAAUCUUUAUCUUGGGAAACAUUGAAAUACCAUUUCCGCCCACCCCUCCUCCCAGUUCUUCAAUCAAAAAUUCUUUUGAGUUGUUCUUUCAUAGGUAAAUAUUAAAAAGUUUUUAUAAAAUGACUCAGUGUAUUUUAAAAAUGAACUGAAAGGGAAAAGACAUUGAUGCCUACUUGUUACACUGAAAGACCUUGUUUAAAAAAAAAUUAGAAACCUUAUGAAAAUAUAUUUAAGCUAUGAAGUUUAUCAUAUUUUCAUUUUUAAAUUAUAGCAGAGUUUAUGGAACAGUUUACUUUUUAAAUUGUAGCAGAAUUUAUGGAACAAUUUACAUUUACAUUACGGAGAGAUUAGUUAUAUAAUAAUCUUGGUCCUAAGAAAUGUUCAAGUUCUGUACUCACUGGUCAAAUGGUCAUUAUUUUUUUCAGUGCUAAGAGAUUUAGUUUCAGGUAAAGAAAAGGAAAACACAAAUGGAACAAAAGAUUAAAAACAGUAACAAGAAACUUACCACAGAAAUAAAGAUAUAACCAAUGAUGUGUCUGUACAAGUGACAGAAUUGUUGGGAGCAGAUGAGCUGUACAAGCUUUAUGGUGGGGAUAUGAUUUCAGAAUUAGCUCUAUGUUAUUUGUGCCUAGGAGAUUAGGGAUUGGUGUGCAAACAGAAUCCCAUUAAUACUCUCAUCUGAACCAUGACUUCCACCUACUCCACAGUAGACUGAAACCUUUCAGUAGAUAGAAGUAGGCAAAUAAUCAGAUACUAAGUUUAAUUUCUUUGCCAGUGUGUUUCAACAGUUGGUGGUUUUACUAACCAGAAAUUAAACUGAGGGACUGGCUGAGAUAGGAUUCAGUAAUAAGGUUGUCUAGAUAUGAAGUAACUAUCUCCCACAGGAGAGUUGACAGCAUAUUGUGCGGCGUUACAAUUAAGAGAUGAGAGCAAAGCAUUAGCUUAUCAUUUGAUAAGCAUUUUUUUUUCAUUUUUAUAAAAAGACCAAUGACUCACUUUUCCUAAAAAGCUAUUGGCCUUUCAUUAGUAUUACCUAAGAAGAUAGAUGGCCAACUGGGUCCUGGCACUAUUUUCACCUUGGAAACUACUGUGUCCUUUGUAUGUUAAGUAUUUCAGGAAAAUGGGAAGGAUUCUGAAAAGGCUGUGUGUUACUUCCCACGUAAGCUCUCACUGUCCAGCAGCCACCGGCCCUUCUCUGUGCUCCGUAUCCUAUUGCAGUAUGAAUUACAGGAUGCUGUGCCUGUCUGUUAGUACCAACACCGUGUGUGGGGUAGGGGUUGUAACCAGUCUCUGGAUGUGUAUGGUACUAUGAAACACUUUAUAAUUCUAUAGUUGUAUGGCGGUGUUAAGCCACAAAUGUAUAAAGAACAAUAGUUUCUAUUGCUUACUGCUGUGUUUUAAAAUAUUGUUUCUGAAAUAAUAUAUUUAGAGUUCCUUUAGAGUAAUUAUUUUUAAAAACUAUUGCCAAAUAUCCUGUAAAAUGAACAAAAGCCACUUCAUCUUGGUUAACAUUUUAGCCUUAUGUUAGAGUACAUUAUCUUGAUUUUGCAUGAUUAAAAUAUUUUUGAAGAGCUGGAA